AGGUGAUCGUUGAUGUCGCCAAUGUAAUAACAGAGGUUAAUUAUAUUAAAUAAUAUUUCAAUAAAUAUUAACAUUAACUUCUAAUACAAUAUACCUCUGUUAUUACAUUGGGGAUAUCAACCGUCCCCU